UGAUCCAUUUGUGACUGAGCGGCGGACGGGUGAGUAACGCGUGAGUAACCUGCCUCAUACAGGGGAAUAACAGUUAGAAAUGACUGCUAAUGCCGCAUAAGCGCACAGGACCACAUGGUCUGGUGUGAAAAACUCCGGUGGUAUGAGAUGGACUCGCGUCUGAUUAGCUAGUUGGUGAGGUAACGGCCUACCAAGCCGACGAUCAGUAGCCGACCUGAGAGGGUGACCGGCCACAUUGGGACUGAGACACGGCCCAAACUCC
rnacentral:rRNA from 1 species